GCUUGGGGUCCUAGGGUUCCCGCCUCCCGCCCCCUGCUACGCGCCGCGCCAUCUCUUCUCUCCCCGCUGCACAUGAAAAGAAAUCACAACCCGUUAGGUUCCCGGGAAGCUCCUGACCCGCUCGCCUCGCCCCUGGCCCACCUUGUCCUCUUCGGCCUGGUGGCAGGGAGGCGUGAGGGCGGGGUGGGGCAGCUACCGCUUGUCCUUAUCCCGGCCGAAUUCCUCCAACUCCCCGGUCCCCGGUAACCAUUUUCCCUCCCCGCCCAUAUUUUCCCCUAAGAACAACGGUUCUUUCCUCCUGACCACCUUGGCGGCGUCUUUUGCAGGUUUUGCGUCUCCUAACUUGUGUACAGUGGAGUUUUCCGGAGACUACAUGACAUGUGAUACGGAAACAUUUGAAAAAGGAAGCAGAUAAUAAAAUCCAGUCAUCUGCAGUUAAACCAGACAUUAAGGAGAUUUGCAAAAACCCUACUCUCUGUAUUCGACAAUGAUGUGAAGUUAACAAGUAAUUAUAAUAUCUGUAAUGACUCCUCAUGAAGAAUCCACAAGACAUAAACUAGGUAGACGAGUGCCCAAAAUGUACAUACACUUGGCACUAAUUUCAAUGGAAACCUCAAGAUUAUUUUAUUCUAAUUAAAGCUAUGCACAAUGCGAGGUAAUUAGCAUACUAGAAGUGACCUAAAUUACUUUCACCUCCUUUCUUUAAAUCUUUGCGGUUGUAGAACUUCUGAGAUCAAAUUGAGAAGUUAGCCUUCAUGAUAAUUUCUCUC